CCUACGGGAGGCAGCAGUGAGGAAUAUUGGUCAAUGGGCGGAAGCCUGAACCAGCCAAGUAGCGUGCGGGAUGAAGGCCCUACGGGUCGUAAACCGCUUUUGCACGGGGAUAACACCCUCCACUUGUGGAGGUCUGCAUGUACCGUGCGAAUAAGGGCCGGCUAAUUCCGUGCCAGCAGCCGCGGUAAUACGGAGGGCCCGAGCGUUAUCCGGAUUUAUUGGGCUUAAAGGGAGCGUAGGCGGGCGUUUAAGUCAGCGGUAAAAUCGCGGGGCUGAACCGCGCCCCGCAGUUGAAACUGGACGCCUUGAGUUCACAACAGGCAGGCGGAAUUCGUGGAGUAGCGGUGAAAUGCAUAGAUAUCACGAGGAACCCCGAUAGCGAAGGCAGCCUGCCGGGGUGCGACUGACGCUGAGGCUCGAAGGUGCGGGUAUCAAACAGGAUUAGAUACCCGUGUAGUC
rnacentral:rRNA from 1 species